GCGUGGAACUGUACACUGCAAGCGAAUGACUGAACACUGCGAGAUGCUAUGCUAUUGUGCAUCAUGUGCGGGAUUACGAUCGUACAUUUUGUCGCGUCGUGUCCCGUGCAAUGGUGUUCUAUUCAAUGUGUCUCGAGUUGUCUGCGGAGCCGGCCAAAUUUAUUAUUGUUAUCGAACGAGUACCAUCUUGUAUGGUUCCACGUAAUAGCAGCGGUUAAAUCAGAGAUGUGCUUCACCUUGUCUGAUACUUCGGCCGGCUCCGCCCAAGCAUCACCUAGUACUGAUCCGCCCGUACUCGAUAUACACUGUACCGCAAUGUCUGCCGAUGCUUGUUGUUCAAGUACUUGCGUUAGCGGGGUUAAAUUACUAGGGCAGCUUGCGGCUGUUCAGCAUUCGAACCGUCUUGAAACACGGACUAAGGGAGUUCAAACUUGAACGCAAGUCGUUUUCACUAAGAAUGUUGAAGGCGAAGUGAAAUCGACUCUGAUAAAGAGAUGUUAACUGAUGGGUGUUUUUUGAUUCAAAAAACAAUUUGAUGAUAAGCACAUGUGAGGAGUUGCACAUUUGUUGCUGACUGCACCAGAGCGUUCAGUCUGAGACCCGAAAGAUGGUGAACUAUGCCUGAGUGGAACGAAGCCAGGAGAAAUUCUGGUGGAAGUUCGAAGCGGUUUUGACGUGCAAAUCAAUCGCCAAACUUUGGUAUAGGGGCGAAAGACUAAUCGAACCAUCUAGUAGCUGGUUCCCUCCGAAGUUUCCCUCAGGAAAGCUGGCGUUCACAAAUAGUUUUACCUGGUAAAGCUAAUGAUUGGAGGGAUCGGAGUUGCAAUAUCUUUGACCUACUCUCAAACUUAAAACGGAUAAGUACUUACUCGCUUCUUCAAUGAGCAGUAAGACAAAAUAGAGAGCGCCAAGAGGGCCCGUUUUUGGUAAGCAGAACCCGGGCGCUGUGGGGAUGAACUGAACGACGAGCUAAGGUGCCCGACGCACUUCUCAAGAGACGCCAUGAAAGGUGUUAGUUGAUAUUGACAGCAGGACGGUGGCCAUGGAAGUCGGCAUCUGCUAAGGAGUGUGUAACUACUCACCUGCCGAAUCAACUAGCCCUGAAAAUGGAUGGCGCUAUAGACGUGGACCUAUGCUCGACCAUUGGUAUUUCUAUGUUGUAGCCGUCUGUGCUACUACAAAAAAGACCUUCCAAUGUGUAGGAGGGCGUAGACGUUGACUUUGAAGCGUACGGUGUAAACCGGCGUGGAGUCGGC
rnacentral:rRNA from 1 species